rnacentral:rRNA from 1 species
AAUUUUGGACAAUGGGGGCAACCCUGAUCCAGCCAUCCCGCGUGUGCGAUGAAGGCCUUCGGGUUGGAAAGCACUUUUGGCAGGGACGAAAAGGCGCCGGAUAAUACCUGGCGCCGCUGACGGUACCUGCAGAAUAAGCAACGGCUCACUCCGUGCCAGCAGCAGCGGUAAUACGCAGGGUGCAAGCGUUAAUCGGAAUUACUGGGCGUAAAGCGUGAGCAGGCGGUUCGGAAAGAAAGAUGUGAAAUCCCAGGGCUUAACCGUGGAACUGCAUUAUUAACUGCCGGGCUAGAGUAUGUAAGAGGGGGGUAGAAUUCCACUUGUAGCAGUGAAGUGCGUAGAGAUGUGGAGGAAUACCGAUGGCGAAGGCGACCACCUGGGCUAAUACUGACACUGAGGUGCGAAAGCGUGGGGAGCAAAC